rnacentral:rRNA from 1 species
AAAUUGAAGAGUUUGAUCAUGGCUCAGAUUGAACGCUGGCGGCAGGCCUAACACAUGCAAGUCGAACGGUAACAGGAAGCAGCUUGCUGCUUUGCUGACGAGUGGCGGACGGGUGAGUAAUGUCUGGGAAACUGCCUGAUGGAGGGGGAUAACUACUGGAAACGGUGGCUAAUACCGCAUAACGUCGCAAGACCAAAGAGGGGGACCUUCGGGCCUCUUGCCAUCAGAUGUGCCCAGAUGGGAUUAGCUUGUUGGUGAGGUAACGGCUCACCAAGGCGACGAUCCCUAGCUGGUCUGAGAGGAUGACCAGCCACACUGGAACUGAGACACGGUCCAGACUCCUACGGGAGGCAGCAGUGGGGAAUAUUGCACAAUGGGCGCAAGCCUGAUGCAGCCAUGCCGCGUGUAUGAAGAAGGCCUUCGGGUUGUAAAGUACUUUCAGCGGGGAGGAAGGUGUUGCGGUUAAUAACCGCAGCAAUUGACGUUACCCGCAGAAGAAGCACCGGCUAACUCCGUGCCAGCAGCCGCGGUAAUACGGAGGGUGCAAGCGUUAAUCGGAAUUACUGGGCGUAAAGCGCACGCAGGCGGUCUGUCAAGUCGGAUGUGAAAUCCCCGGGCUCAACCUGGGAACUGCAUUCGAAACUGGCAGGCUUGAGUCUUGUAGAGGGGGGUAGAAUUCCAGGUGUAGCGGUGAAAUGCGUAGAGAUCUGGAGGAAUACCGGUGGCGAAGGC